UACGAGGGGGGCGAGCGUUGUUCGGAAUUAUUGGGCGUAAAGGGUGCGUAGGCGGUUUGGUAAGUCUGAUGUGAAAUCUAUGGGCUCAACUCAUAGUCUGCAUCGGAAACUGCCGGGCUUGAGUAUGGGAGAGGUGAGUGGAAUUCCUGGUGUAGCGGUGAAAUGCGUAGAUAUCAGGAGGAACACCUGUGGCGAAAGCGGCUCACUGGACCAUAACUGACGCUGAGGUGCGAAAGCGUGGGGAGCAAACGGG
rnacentral:rRNA from 1 species